GGUGGUGAACGCGUCUGGGAACGCGCUCGGUCUCCAAAACCGACGGCUCCGUCCUGUGGGGUUCGAUUCCUCCGCCACCU
rnacentral:tRNA from 1 species